UAAUACGGGGGGUGCGAGCGUUGUCCGGAAUCACUGGGCGUAAAGGGCGCGUAGGUGGUCUGAUAAGGGUGUGGUGAAAGUCCGGGGCUCAACCCCGGAUCUGCCGUGCCGACUGUCAGACUCGAGGACUGUAGAGGCAGGCGGAAUUCCGGGUGUAGCGGUGGAAUGCGUAGAGAUCCGGAGGAAGACCGGUGGCGAAGGCGGCCUGCUGGGCAGUUUCUGACACUGAGGCGCGACAGCGUGGGGAGCAAACAGGAUUAGAUACCCUGGUAGUCCACGCCGUAAACGAUGGGUACUAGGUGCCUGGGGGAGCGACCCUCUGGGUGCCGGCGCUAACGCAGGAAGUACCCCGCCUGGGGAGUACGGCCGCAAGGCU
rnacentral:rRNA from 1 species